rnacentral:tRNA from 1 species
GCCGGAGUGGUGAAACUGGUAGACGCGCUGGACUCAAAAUCCUGUGAGCUUAUGCUCGUGUCGGUUCGAUUCCGACCUCCGGCACCA